CGAACAUGCGGGCGAGUAAGCAGGAAGAACGAGGAGUUAUUCGAUUUUUGGCGGCCGUGAAAUGUAUCGACGGAUGAAGGCUGUGUACGGUUUUGAGAAUCGGCGCAAUCGGAUAACACUAGCGGAAUUGUUUUUUGCAAUUCAGCUGCUAAUUCUGAAGUAUCCAAAGCCAGGCGUAACUCUGGGUCUGGCCAUGUCUUUGAUCACAAGACGUGGGAUAAUCCUCAAAUGGGUUGUCAUAAAUACUAUCGCAUUUAUGUCGUUGGCACCAGAAGUAGAAG